rnacentral:rRNA from 1 species
UGGGGAAUAUUGGACAAUGGGCGCAAGCCUGAUCCAGCCAUGCCGCGUGAGUGAUGAAGGCCCUAGGGUUGUAAAGCUCUUUCACCGGUGAAGAUAAUGACGGUAACCGGAGAAGAAGCCCCGGCUAACUUCGUGCCAGCAGCCGCGGUAAUACGAAGGGGGCUAGCGUUGUUCGGAUUGACUGGGCGUAAAGCGCACGUAGGCGGACUUUUAAGUCAGGGGUGAAAUCCCGGGGCUCAACCCCGGAACUGCCUUUGAUACUGGAAGUCUUGAGUAUGGUAGAGGUGAGUGGAAUUCCGAGUGUAGAGGUGAAAUUCGUAGAUAUUCGGAGGAACACCAGUGGCGAAGGCGGCUCACUGGACCAUUACUGACGCUGAGGUGCGAAAGCGUGGGGAGCAAACAGG